rnacentral:rRNA from 1 species
AUUGAACGCUGGCGGCAGGCCUAACACAUGCAAGUCGAACGAGUGGCGGACGGGUGAGUAAUGUCUGGGAAACUGCCUGAUGGAGGGGGAUAACUACUGGAAACGGUCGCUAAUACCGCAUACCAUCGGAUGUGCCCAGAUGGGCUUAGCUAGUAGGUGGGGUAAAGGGUCACCUAGGCGACGACCCGUAGCUGGUCUGAGAGGAUGAACAGCCACACGGGAACUGAGGCACGGUCCAGAGGCCUACGGUAGGCAGCAGUGGGGAAUAUUGCACAAUGGGAGAAAGCCUGAUGCAGCCAUGCCGCGAGUAUGAAGAAGGCAUUCGGGUUGUAGAGUACUUUCAGCGUGGAGGCGUUACCCGCAGAAGAAGCACCGGCUAACUCCGUGCCAGCCGCCGCGGUAAUAC